rnacentral:rRNA from 1 species
AGAGUUUGAUCAUGGCUCAGAAUGAACGUUGGCGGCGUGGAUUAGGCAUGCAAGUCGAGCGCCCCGCAAGGGGAGCGGCGCAAGAGUGAGUAAGGCGACGGUAACCAACCCCACGAUUGGGAAUAGCCGCGGGAAACUGCGGGUAAUGCCCAGCGACGUCAUAGGGAGGCAUCUCCCGGUGACCAAAGCUCCGGCGUCGUGGGACGGGCCGUCGUGGUAUUAGCUUGUUGGCGGGGUGACGGCCCACCAAGGCUGCGAUGCCUACCGGGCGUGCGAGCGUGGCCCGGCACACUGGGACUGAGACACUGCCCAGACUCCUACGGGAGGCUGCAGUCGAGAAUCUUCGGCAAUGGGCGCAAGCCUGACCGAGCGACGCCGCGUGGAGGACGAAGGCCUUCGGGUUGUAAACUCCUGUCGAGGGGGAGGAAGGGGUAAAACCUUGACCGAUCCCUGGAGGAAGCACGGGCUAAGUUCGUGCCAGCAGCCGCGGUAAGACGAACCGUGCGAACGUUAUUCGGAAUCACUGGGCUUAAAGCGCGUGUAGGCGGGCCGGCACGUCGGUCGCUG